rnacentral:rRNA from 1 species
CCAUGCAUGUCUCAGUGCAGCCGUACGCGUUCGCGCGUCUAGGUGAAACCGCGAAAGGCUCAUUAAAUCAGUUAUGGUUCCUUGGAUCGUACCACUCAGUUACUUGGAUAACUGUGGUAAUUCUAGAGCUAAUACAUGCCGACAGAGUUCCGACCGCCUCCGUGCGGGAGGAACGCUUUUAUUAGAUCAAAACCCAUCGGCGUGGUCUUCGGGCCACGCCGACAACACUCGGUCCCCUUCGCGGGGGCCGACCAAGUGGUGACUCUGAAUAACUUUGUGCUGAUCGCACGGUCUCAGUGCUGGCGAUGCAUCUUUCAAAUGUCUGCCUUAUCAACUGUCGAUGGUAGGUUAUGCGCCUACCAUGGUGGUAACGGGUGACGGGGGAUUAGGGUUCGAUCCCGGAGAGGGAGCCUGAGAAACGGCUACCACAUCCAAGGAAGGCAGCAGGCACGCAAAUUACCCACUCCCAGCUCAGGGGAGGUAGUGACGAAAUAUAACGAUACGGGACUCAUCCGAGGCCUCGUAAUCGGAAUGAGUACACUGUAAAACGUUUAACGAGGAUCCAUUGGAGGGCA